rnacentral:tRNA from 1 species
GAGGGUAUAGCUCAGUGGUAGAGUGUCUGCUUAGCAUGCACAAGGUCCUGGGUUCAAUCCCUAGCACCUCCA